UAAAAAGCUCGUAGUCGGAGGUGUGUCUCGGACGGUUGGUUCGCUGCUUGUCGGUGCUUAACUGGCCGGUCCGGACGUCCUGCCGGUGGGGAUGUCAAAAGUCUCCGUUAUCCUUCUUUGGUGCUCUUCACCGAGUGCCUUGGUGGGCCGGCACGUUUACUUUGAACAAAUUAGAGUGCUCAAAGCAGGCCGUUGGUCGCCUGAAUACUGUGUGCAUGGAAUAAUGGAAUAGGACCUCGGUUCCAUUUUGUUGGUUUUCAGAACUCGAGGUAAUGAUUAAUAGGGACGGACGGGGGCAUUCGUAUUGCGACGUUAGAGGUGAAAUUCUUGGAUCGUCGCAAGACGAACCGAUGCGAAAGCAUUUGCCAAGAACGUUUUCGUUGAUCAAGAACGAAAGUUAGAGGUUCGAAGGCGAUCAGAUACCGCCCUAGUUCUAACCAUAAACGAUGCCAGCUAGCCAUCCGCCGAAGUUCCUUCUAUGACUCGGCGGGCAGCUUCCGGGAAACCAAAGCUCUUGGGUUCCGGGG
rnacentral:rRNA from 1 species